rnacentral:rRNA from 1 species
GAUGAACGCUGGCGGCGUGCCUAAUACAUGCAAGUCGAACGCUUCACUUCGGUGAAGAGUGGCGAACGGGUGAGUAAUACAUAAGUAACCUGGCAUCUACAGGGGGAUAACUGAUGGAAACGUCAGCUAAGACCGCAUAGGUGUAGAGAUCGCAUGAACCCUAUAUGAAAAGUGCUACGGGACUGGUAGAUGAUGGACUUAUGGCGCAUUAGCUUGUUGGUAGGGUAACGGCCUACCAAGGCGACGAUGCGUAGCCGACCUGAGAGGGUGACCGGCCACACUGGGACUGAGACACGGCCCAGACUCCUACGGGAGGCAGCAGUAGGGAAUUUUCGGCAAUGGGGGAAACCCUGACCGAGCAACGCCGCGUGAAGGAAGAAGUAAUUCGUUAUGUAAACUUCUGUCAUAGAGGAAGAACGGUGGAUAUAGGGAAUGAUAUCCAAGUGACGUUACUCUAUAAGAAAGCCACGGCUAACUACGUG